UGAGAACUUGAUAUUAAACUACCAUAAUAAUAAAAUAUUGUUGUAUAUAAUCAACACAGAUUUGUGGCAUUCCAAUUAAUAAUCCAGUUGGGUAUUUUAUUUAUUAAUGUGUUUAUUUGUUUAGAUUUAAGGAUUUUUAAUAAGGAAAUCUGUCUCUAAAUAGUGGAUUACUCACUAAGAACGCGUCCAUUUAAUGUUCUUUGUUUGAUAUUUAGCCCUAUUUAUGUUGUCUUCGAAAUAAGUUCAAGAAAUAAAGUGUAAAGAGUAGUAAGAUCAUCAAUCUGAGGCUUGAGUUGACACUGAUUGACUCUUUAUUUUGGUGCAGGAUGCCUGAUUGUGUGGGUUCAGUGUAAAUGUUACACUGAUUGAGGUUGAUAAUCCAUCAGUGUCGUCUGUCUGAGGGGCUGGUGUUGGGUUAGUCUAAAUAUCUGACUUUAAUUCGUCAUUUGCUUUAACUCUUACCCGUAAUUCCACAGGGUCUUUCCCUUUAACUCUCUGGGAAUAUAGAACAAUAUUCCUGCUCUGUUUUAUUAAGGAAAGCUACACAUCAGUGUCUACAUGUUUAUAUUUAGCAUUAUAAUUGAGAUAUUAUAUUACAUGCAUGUAUUUGAAAUGUUUUAUUUGGUUUUAUUUAAGACGUGAAAUGGUAUAACUUUUAGAUAACAGCAUAAAUGCAUUUACAUAAUGAUAUGUGUGUGAUGUCAGUCAAUGUUUCUAGGAUUGUGUUGUUUUUGUGAUUAUGUGAAAUGAGUGGUUUGUUCUUUUGCAGCUCUUCAGAAACCUUUGACGAAGUGAAAAGGCGUUCAGUCGUGUUGUUCUCAGUCCCACCCCGCACAAACCUUCAGUCUCACAUGCACUUUGACCUUCCUGGAUGUGGUGCAUUCUGGGAAAUCAGACUGGACACUGGUCCUGGAGGACGGGAUGUUCGCUGGACUCACUUUUACACACUUUAUAAAUUAUUUCAGCCUCAUGUUCCUGUUUCAAUGCCAAUCAAAUGGAAGCGAAUCACAAACAAGUACUUUAAAGGUCACAGGUCACGCGUGUGUGUGUGUGCGUGCGUGUUUAUAAGAAUGUGUAAAUAUCAUGGCAGAAUUACCAUAAUAAUUAUGAUUCAUAAAUAUGUUUACAGCUUGUAGUUUCA